ACUUAUACCUGGCAGAGGAGAUACCAUGAUCAUGAAAGUGGUUUUCCCAGGGUAAGGCUCAUCCAUUGCACUUUGGGUGUGCUGAUCCCUGUGAUUUCCUCAAAUAUGGGAAAAUCAGCUGCCUAAUUUGUGGUAGUGGGGGACUGCGUUUGUGGUUUUCCCUG
ensembl:snRNA U1 U1 spliceosomal RNA